rnacentral:rRNA from 1 species
CAGCCGCCGCGGUAAUACGUAUGUCACAAGCGUUAUCCGGAUUUAUUGGGCGUAAAGCACGUCUAGGUGGUUAUGUAAGUCUGAUGUGAAAAUGCAGGGCUCAACUCUGUAUUGCGUUGGAAACUGCAUGACUAGAGUACUGGAGAGGUAAGCGGAACUACAAGUGUAGAGGUGAAAUUCGUAGAUAUUUGUAGGAAUGCCGAUGGGGAAGCCAGCUUACUGGACAGAUACUGACGCUAAAGCGCGAAAGCGUGGGUAGCAAACAGGAUUAGAUACCCGCGUAGUCCCUGUCUCUUAUACA